UGAACGCUGGCGGCGUGCCUAAUACAUGCAAGUCGAACGGGUAUCACAAGAGUGCUUGCACUUUUGUGUGAGAGUGGCGCACGGGUGAGUAACACGUAGCUGACCUGCCUUUCACUGGGGGAUAACUCGUCGAAAGAUGAGCUAAUACCGCGUACGCUUGGAGAGUUUAGAAGUCUUCAAGGAAAGAAUUAGCAUCGGUGAAAGAGGGGGCUGCGGUCCAUCAGCUAGUUGGUGAGGUAAAAGCUCACCAAGGCACCGACGGGUAGGGGACCUGAGAGGGUGACCCCCCACACUGGAACUGAGACACGGUCCAGACUCCUACGGGAGGCAGCAG
rnacentral:rRNA from 1 species